AAAUCUUAAACAAUAACUAUCGACGCUUUAAAAUAUCAACAAAUAUAACACCGACGUUUGUAAAAAUAUCAAGCAAAAAGUCGUUAAGUAAAUAUGUCGGAAUAAAUAUAUCGACGCUUUAAUUAAUAUAGUGUCGAAAAAAUUUUAUCAAUGGUUGAUAAAAAUAUAUUUUUUAACGAUACUUAAUCAUGGUGUUGGCAUAUACCAAAUAUUGAAGACGUUAGAAUAGAACGUCGCCUAAAAUAUAUUUUGUUGUAGUGCACAUAUUAUAUAUAUAUAUAGAGAGAGAGAGAGAGAGAGAGAGAGAGAGCAGGGCUACUAUACUCCUACGAGUAUAGAGCCCUUCAUAUUUAUAAGCUGUUUCGAUGAUGAAGCUUCCAAAUCGACGAUCCACUCCGUUAAAUAUAAUCUAGAGUAUUUGAAACCUUUUAAAAAUUAAUUUCGAAAUUUCGAAAUUAUAAUAAAGUCUAUAUAUCAAGCAAGCACAAAAUGAACGGUCAAAAUCGAACGACGUCCUAAAAAUGGAUGAUUGGAUCAUUUAAUUUAAGAUCGGAGUUACCGAUCUUUAUUUAAAUAGUGAAUAAAAUUUUCUAUCAAAAAUUCAACCAAAUCCAAUUCUUUUACACUGUUAAACUAGCAAGUAUCCUAUACCGCUGUUAAAAAUUAUUAAUUUUGUAACUUUUGAUCGUAAGACAAAUGAUAUUGAAAAAUUAUGAAAUUUGAUUUCUAGAAAAAUUUUAAAUGCUCUAUAUAAUGUUUAACGAUAUGGAUCAUCAAUUUGUAAGCUCUAUCGUUGAAAAUAACUUAUGAGUACGAAGGCAAUCGUAUUCAUAAGAAUAUAGUAGCCGGACUCUAUAUAUAUAUAUAGAGACAGAGAGAGAGAGAGAGAGUCUGGCUACUAAACUCUUCUGAGUAUAGAGCCUUUUGUACUCAUAAAUUUUUUACCGUUUGAUCUACCCUUUAAUUAUUUUCAUCUGUUAGAUUAUACUAUUCAACCAACAACGCACUCAACCCUAGGGGGGCCCACUAUCAACCUAACCGUAACUACUCUCAUCCUAACCGCACAUCUUUUCAUCUGAACGGCCGAAAAGUUAUGAGUACAAAGAACUCUAUACUCAUAUGAGUAUAGUAGCCCAGCCUAUACUCAUAUGAGUACAAAAAACUCUAUACUCAUAUAAUCCAAUGGUUAGAAAUAAUGAAAAGAGUUGAUCCAAAGGCUAAAAAACUGGUAGCAACAAUGGAAUUUUGCUACUAAUAGUAGCCCAGUCCAACUCUAUAUAUAGAAUUAGGCUGGAAUACUAUUAAUAGUAAAACGUUCAUUUUGCUAUCAAGUUUUUAACUCUUGGAUGAAAAAUUGUAGGGUCAGGAUGAUAUUAGUCGGUUAGAGUUGAGUGGUCCCCCUAGGGUUGAGUGGUCCCCACUGGGUUAUAGUAU
rnacentral:lncRNA from 1 species